rnacentral:rRNA from 1 species
GACGAACCGUGCGAAUGUUGUUCGGAAUCACUGGGCUUAAAGGGCGCGUAGGCGGGCUGUCAAGUCUGGGGUGAAAUGCCGCGGCUCAACCGUGGAACUGCCUUAGAUACUGACGGCCUUGAGGAAGGUAGGGGCAUGCGGAACUGUAGGUGGAGCGGUGAAAUGCGUUGAUAUCUACAGGAACUCCGGUGGCGAAAGCGGCGUGCUGGACCUUUUCUGACGCUGAGGCGCGAAAGCUAGGGGAGCAAACGGG